GCAUGGCUAGCUCAGUCAGUAGAGCAUGAGACUCUUAAUCUUAGGGUCAUGGGUUCGUACCCCAUGUUGGGCA
rnacentral:tRNA from 1 species